rnacentral:rRNA from 1 species
CGCGGCCUAUCAGCUUGUUGGUGGGGUAAUGGCCCACCAAGGCGACGACGGGUAGCCGGCCUGAGAGGGCGAACGGCCACACUGGGACUGAGACACGGCCCAGACUCCUACGGGAGGCAGCAGUGGGGAAUAUUGCGCAAUGGGCGAAAGCCUGACGCAGCGACGCCGCGUGAGGGAUGAAGGCCUUCGGGUUGUAAACCUCUUUCAGCAGGGACGAAGCGAAAGUGACGGUACCUGCAGAAGAAGCACCGGCCAACUACGUGCCAGCAGCCGCGGUAAUACGUAGGGUGCAAGCGUUGUCCGGAAUUAUUGGGCGUAAAGAGCUCGUAGGCGGUUUGUCACGUCGGCUGUGAAAACUCGGGGCUCAACCCCGAGCCUGCAGUCGAUACGGGCAAACUAGAGUGUGGUAGGGGAGACUGGAAUUCCUGGUGUAGCGGUGAAAUGCGCAGAUAUCAGGAGGAACACCGGCGGCGAAGGCGGGUCUCUGGGCCAUAACUGACGCUGAGGAGCGAAAGCGUGGGGAGCGAACAGGAUUAGAUACCCUGGUAGUCCACGCCGUAAACGUUGGGCGCUAGGUGUCGGGGACCUUCCACGUCUUCGGUGCCGCAGCUAACGCAUUAAGCGCCCCGCCUGGGGA